CAGGUUCGCUCAGGGUCCAGAUUUGCCUGCAUUUUCCCAGAGUCCUCCCACACCCAGGGGAGUGGGCUGUCAUUGGGAGCCAGUAAGGGGGUGUUGAUUUCUUUUCCAACCAGUAGAGGCAGGGGCCAUAGACUUAGGUGGAACCCCUGGCUCUUUGCUGGCUCCCAGGGUUCUGACAGCUGGGUCUUCUGAGCCCUGGGGACUGGCUGCCUGUGGCUGAGCCCUUCAAGGGCAUUGCGCUUCUUCUGCAAAUGUCAUUCCCAGUCCAUGUUCUGGUUGGAGGACAGGCAGAGCCUGGCAUUGAAGUUGGUGAGUCAGAGACGGAUCUGUGAGUGGGGCCAGAAUGGGGCUUGGGCUUCAGACCUCACAAAGCAGACCACAUGGCAGCCUGGGGCGUUAGUAUCCAAAUGUCCUGCCCUCCAGGUUUUAUUCCUUGCCAUAAAAUAUCACAUUAAAGGAAAACGUUUUGUUAAAAGACCACAGUCCUGUCACCUGAGCACAGUAGCUGUUCUCUGUUCCUCUUUGGCCUUCCAGCAUGGGGGCAGGGCCCAGCUGUGUCAGGACCACUCAGACUCUUAUGACACAUCCAGAGUCCCCAGCCCCACCCCAACCCACCCAGUCCACGAGAAGGAACGGGGUGGGGCCCAAAUCUGUGAGUUCCCAAGGGAGGCCUGUGUGCAGUAAGUUGUGGGGAGUGGCGCUGGCACGGCUGGAAACAUCUUGGGGUUUGAAGCCAGAGCCUCAGGUGAGACUCAAGGGUCCCUGGGACU
rnacentral:lncRNA from 1 species